GGAUUGUGGCUCAGCGGUAGAGCACUCACCUACUAUGUGUGAGGCCCUGGGUUCAGUCCUCAGCACCA
rnacentral:tRNA from 1 species